rnacentral:tRNA from 1 species
AGGGACUUAGGUUAAUCAUGAGACCAAGGGCCUUCAAAGCCCUAAGCGCGAGUUAAAAUCUCCCAGACCCUG